CAUGACGGCAACAAUAACACAAUCCUAAAUAAUAGUGAAAGUGCUCCUUUUACCUGACGGAUGCAGCACAUGUCCACAGAACAAAAAAGCACACCGCAGAAAGACACGCACACAUGGAACCGGUCGUAUGAUGAUGCUAAAAAUAUGAGCAUUAAAAAUUAUGGCUCAUCAAAUGAAAACGAUUGCAGAGGAGAGACUACGAGUUGUGGGCUUACCCCGAGAGGCAGGCAACGGCAGUAAGGAAAGCAAAGCACAUCCCCAUGGCCACGCUUCAAGAAGCAAAAGGUGGUGCCUCCUUAACAGUGCUCAAGGAAGACGACGAUUCGGCAGGGUAAAGAAGAAAAAAGGUCACAGUUGAAAUGCAGGAUUGCUGGCAAAGCAUAUUUAACAUUUGGCCACUUUGCAUCUCUGUUCCUUCAAUAUCGUUAAUAAAUCAACUCACAAAAGUAUGCACAAUGAAGCAAUCCUUAGCUGAUCAGAUGCAGCAAAGCAGUAGAGAAUUGAAUUAUUCUACAAAAUCUUCCAUACUUCAUUUGCUGUCUACCUCAAGAUAAUCGAUUGGUAGCAAACAGCAUUCGGACUGCAUUUUAAAAGAAGUAAGCAAUAAGACAACAAAAUGUCGGAGGGAAAAGAAUCAAAAUAUGUAAAUACCAUUCCAGGCGAAUAAAUGCCAACCAAUGAGGGAGAAGAGUUUCUCCCCAAAACGCACACGAUGGCGGUAGAAGAAAAUGUAAAUCGCUUCAAAAUGAAAUUAUAAUGAAAACAAAAAAUCCCACCAAGACAGGAAUAUUGUUCACGAAAUCGAAAAAAAAACAGAGGGAAAGCUUUUCCCGUCCCUCGCAUAAAGUCAGAAAGCGGAUCAGCAGCGGCAACUUAAGCCAACGCUAGAAAAGAACAAACACACACACGCGCACACACAUGAUGGGAUGUCACCCGGCUGGUAUUUUAUUCAUUUUCCAGUAUCAAUCUAGUAUCGCUUUCAUCGUACAUCAGCGCGACAGAGUAAUGCCUUUCAUCGCCCGGGAAAAAAGGCAGACACACACUCAUCCGGCGACGCCAGCCACCGAGCGAAUGCAAGGAUGAUAACAGCUUUAAAUUAAAGAAACAUUCACCCGAACACAGCGAACAGGCAAAACCUGGUGUUCCCUGGUGGCACAGUGGCUUCACGCACAAGAGGGAAACCCCCAGCAAAGACGGGAAACGAAUCGCAUAAAUUGUAUUUUUAUUUAUUAUUAAAAAAGAAGUCGCGCACAGUCGGCAGUGGAGGAGACGAUGGGCACCAAACAUUUCUUUGCUGCUGUCGGCAGGGUUGGCGGCUCUUUCUCAUAUUUCAUGCGGUUAAUAUCGUGUGGCAGUGUGGGGGGAAGUGGUACCAAGGAUGGAACGGAAAAGGUUGCCUGCAUUCUUCUGUUUACGAGGGGGCAGGCCUUAUC